AUCUUGCUGGAGAUCUCUGCCUGCCUGAGGCCUUUGGAAGAAAGACGGAAGAAAGUCUCUUUUGUGCAGCCUGAAUUGCCUUGCACAGCACACACCGAAACCCCAGGCUGAGGUGCAGCAAGGGCAGCUGCUCAUCUGAUUUGCCUCAGCAAUGGGUUCAGCUGGCGUUUGCUACGAACUCUUUUCAAACUUAAGUUCCCCUGAGCCCUGGGGAUAGUUUGCUAUUUCAAAGCCAACCCACUGAGGACCCCAAGGCAGCAGUUGGAGCAAAGCUCACAGCCUCUCCCUUUGGAAAAGCCUUCCAAGCACAAGUUUUUGGUCUUCAGCACAGCACAACAAGGGAUAUUCUGGGAGCCAGCUUGUUCUCCUGGUAUGUUUCUUCUCCCUGCCUCCUGCUGCCACUUCAUGGCUUUUAUCUCUCUGCUCUUCCUCCUUUCAUGUCGCUGCUUUGGAGGUGAGAUGUGAUUCUCUCCUCCCCUUUCCACGUGCCAAAACCCAGGAGGUGCACAGCAGCUCAGGGUCCUCCCCAGGACUUUGCAAACCAUGAAAAUGUGGGGAUGCCUGAAGCAAGAAGGACAGAUAUUCAGUGCACCCAACGUCCUCUGAAUCCACUCAUUCGGUCCCACACUCUUUUGGUGGAAUGAUUUAUGUGCUGCCUCUAGGAAGGCUGCAAAGCAGUGGCCAGAGCUCAGCCAGUAGAGUACAAAGAUGUGAAUUAUUCCACCUUUAGUUUGAUUUGCUGGUAGCCAAGCUCAUGCAGCCUGCAGGAAGAAUUUCAGCGUUGCAGUGUAUCACCAAGUUGCAAUAGUACUGCAAUAAAAAUAUCAGCUUUUGUU
ensembl:lncRNA